GUGGGUGUGUCUCAGUUGGUAGAGCACUUGCCUUGGAUGCAGUAAGCCCUGAGUUCAAUUCCCAGCACUAUA
rnacentral:tRNA from 1 species